rnacentral:rRNA from 1 species
UACGGGGGGAGCAAGCGUUGUUCGGAAUUACUGGGCGUAAAGCGCACGUAGGCGGCUUUGUAAGUUAGAGGUGAAAGCCCGGGGCUCAACCCCGGAAUUGCCUUUAAGACUGCAUCGCUUGAAUCCGGGAGAGGUGAGUGGAAUUCCGAGUGUAGAGGUGAAAUUCGUAGAUAUUCGGAAGAACACCAGUGGCGAAGGCGGCUCACUGGACCGGUAUUGACGCUGAGGUGCGAAAGCGUGGGGAGCAAACAGG